GCCUUCGUGGUGUAGUGGUCAGCACGCUCGGCGCGUAUUCGAGAGGUCCGUGGUUCGAGUCCUGGCGAGGGCA
rnacentral:tRNA from 1 species